UCCUACGGGUGGCUGCAGUGAGGAAUAUUGGUCAAUGGACGCAAGUCUGAACCAGCCAUGCCGCGUGCAGGAUGACGGCCCUAUGGGUUGUAAACUGCUUUUCUACGGGAAGAACCCCCCCGACGUGUCGGGGACUGACGGUACCGUGGGAAUAAGCAUCGGCUAACUCCGUGCCAGCAGCCGCGGUAAUACGGAGGAUGCAAGCGUUAUCCGGAUUUAUUGGGUUUAAAGGGUGCGUAGGCGGACUAAUAAGUCAGUGGUGAAAUCCCCCGGCUCAACCAGGGAACUGCCAUUGAUACUGUUAGUCUAGAGUACAGUUGAAGUGGGCGGAAUGUAGCAUGUAGCGGUGAAAUGCAUAGAUAUGCUACAGAACACCAAUAGCGAAGGCAGCUCGCUAAGCUGUAACUGACGCUAAUGCACGAAAGCGUGGGGAUCAAACAGGAUUAGAUACCCAGUAGUC
rnacentral:rRNA from 1 species